rnacentral:tRNA from 1 species
GACAGCUGUGGCUCAGGGGUAAGAGCAUCUGCUUGGUAUAUAAAAGGUCCCAUGUUCAAUCCCGGGCAUCGUCA